CCAAGGAGUGCAACAUGCGUGCGAGUCUGUGGGUGCAGAGACCCGUCGGCGCAAUGAGAGUGAAGGCGGAUGUCCGCCGAGGCAGGAGCCGUCCCYUUCGGGCGGCCCACUGUUGACCGAUCCCRUUCCACGCUGUGGUGGGAUUCGAGUGAGAGCGUGCCUGUUGCGACCCGAAAGAUGGUGAACUAUGCCUGAAUAGGGCGAAGCCAGAGGAAACUCUGGUGGAAGCUCGCAGCGGUUCUGACGUGCAAAUCGAUCGUCAAAUUUGGGUAUAGGGGCGAAAGACUAAUCGAACCAUCUAGUAGCUGGUUCCCUCCGAAGUUUCCCUCAGGAUAGCUGGAGCCCGGAGCAGUUUUAUCAGGUAAAGCGAAUGAUUAGAGGUCUUGGGGUUGAAACAACCUCAACCUAUUCUCAAACUUUAAAUGGGUAAGAAGUCCGGCUUGCUCGGUUGAAGUCGGACGGUGGAAUGCCGGGGCUCCCAGUGGGCCAUUUUUGGUAAGCAGAACUGGCGAUGCGGGAUGAACCGAACGCCGGGUUAAGGUGCCCGARUCGACGCUCAUCAGAUCCCAUGAAAGGU
rnacentral:rRNA from 1 species